AUCAAGUAGAGACAGCAGAUCACUGUUUAAAAGGGAUUCUGGGCCUCUGAGAUUCCAGGGCUCUAGAGUGGAACACUGGGGAGGUUCUGAGAGCCCGAAGUGACCAUUGCAAUUCUAAAGUAUCCGUAGUAAAACGUUUGCCAUUUUGGAGGAUAAAGAAGUUCAAGUGAAGAUAAGCAGAAUCUUCUAAAGGGAACUUGGACAGGCAAGAGGAAAUGAGCAGUGGGGUAUGACAGGAAAAGGGUCUCACUGUGUUGAGCUGAUUCCCAGAGGAAGCUGAUCAAGAGGACACAUUCUACGUUUUUCAAGCUUGCUCAGACUUGGGAGAACUCAGGCUUCAGGGGACUGGAGGAAGGAGAGAAACCUGGCUAACAGUCAAGACAAAACAAGAGCUCAGUGAAGACAUGUGAGCAAGGACAGCAUUCUCUAGAGAGAGAAAGAGAGAGACAUGGUGAGAAGAGAGAAGACUAGAAAAGGAGGAAGACAAGAAAACCUCCCUUUCCAGCAACGUGGCUUUUUGCAGAUGAUUUUGCGAGUUAAGCUACAUGAACUGUGAAGAUCGACCCUGAGCUUUUCUUGCUCGUGCUGUGGCAAAUACCUAGAAUACAAUAUGGGCUCAAUAAAUAACCAUUUAUUUAUGAACAAGAAUGAAUAAAUAAGUGAAGCAAUCAAUCAACCAACGGGGAGACUUGUAAAGUUAUAGGCUGGACACAGUAUCAAUUUAUACCCCUACCUACUUUAACAACCUCAUUUCCCAUGAAACUAUGAUAAGCACCCUAUGUCCCAGCCGCACCAUGUUACUCGCAUUACCUGCAUCCAACUCCUGGGUGAGUUAUGCCUCAGUGCUUACCUAGUAUGCUUGACAACCUGAACAAAUCAUUGUUAACACCCCUCUCCUCUUUAUGACAAAAUUGAUUUUAAUAAAAAUCAUGUAAUAAUAUGAACAAUCA
rnacentral:lncRNA from 1 species